GCAGGGCGAGCUAGCUACCAGCAGGAUAGAGACAGGACUGAGAUGUGCUCCUGCAGUGCACACUGCCAAGACCUGCUCAAGCCACGGUCCGCAGUGUCCAGCCUUUGACCACAAGAGCCAUCAAAUCCAGAGAGGAUAGGAUGUGCCACACAAUUCUCCCAGACAAGUUAUAUUCAUCACAAUUAGACUGACAUUUGUUCUUCAGUCUGGAUGGAAACCACAUCAGGAAACACAGUAUAAGAUGGAGGAAGAAUACAAGGGAAAAGGAAGAGGAGGGAGUAGGAGGAGAAGAGGGUAAAGAUGGUCGUCGGCCAAUCCCUGCUCAGUCUCUGUAACUUGGUUGAUUACGAUCAAUUUCCCUGAUAUCGAUGGCCUCCCUGGCCCUGAGCUACACUCCCUCCUGCACUUUGCAUGGUACGUGCUUUGUGUACCAUGACAUGACUCACUCCAGCACACCAUUCCCAAACCCUGACUCUCCCACCUGCAGUCCCCUGAUCCUGGCCUAUCAACAGCUGGGUAACAGGAGGGAUAUAUCCUAGCAAUCACAAAAAACAAAUGUUUCCACUUCCAUGUUCUCAAAGUGGUUAAAAUUUGGGUUAUUGCAGUAUAUUUAAUUGAUUGGCUUCUGAGCGUGUUAGGGUUAAAAAGUUUGGGUGGUGUUACUGCAGCAGUGCAGGUGGAAGGGAGAUUUUUUUCUUUCUUUCAGGGCUGCUGAAGGAUUGAACUCUCGCUUAAAAACUCAGAGAGACAUGGUGGAAAUGAUGAGAUGAAGUUUGGUCACGACGUGCUGGACCGAAAGCCUCAAAAUCUGUAUUUGUUCUGGGGAAUGUGAAACUGUCCUCCCUCCGGCAUGUGCGAGGGCGCAUCCCGCUCGUUCUAUCUCUGCACACUUGGCACGGUCUAUCCGAAUUAAUUGCAUCUCUGCAAGGGAGAGAGCGAGAUGGAUAGAGGGAGAGAGAGAAAGGUUUAGUCCUUCUGUUGGGCUGGUCCUGCUACAAGGGGAGUCAUUUAAAAUUCUGCCUCCCAUGUGGCUCCUGGUUUUCACUUUAAUGACCCCCCCCCAUCCUCUCCCCCUGCUUUUUACCCCAUGACUUUCCUGGGUUUUGAGCUGCAAGCUCAGUUUCCUAUUGCUGCACGGUGCUGAUGCAAACCUUAUUCCUGCAUGUAUACAAAUAAAUAAUGCUUGUUUAUUGACCAGCAUCAAAGCCAUUAGUGACAAAAUGUUGUUUGCACCUUCUGUCUCUCCCCCUAUGCCUUUUUGUUGCUUCCUCCCCCCCUCCACCUCCGUAAUCAACCAUUGCUGCCAUCAAUGAUCCAACUCUCUGCUACCUAUUCUUGCUUGCCAAUUACUGUGUGAGCAGUGAGUACCACCUUUUUUCUGGGAAAAUGGCCGCUACACCUGUUGUCAAGCAAAAGAUCUUUCAAUUAGAAUGCUGUAAAAAAAAGUAUUGCUUUGUUUUGGAAAAGAUUAAAAUCUUUAGUUUUUCCUUUUGUUGACAGUGGGAACAAAUGUAUCUACUAGGUAAUAAUUCAUAAGGUCAGGAUCAUAACAAAUAUAUUGACCUAUCCUGAGGAUUUUAGAGGUCCAGGUCUACAUAUGGAAUUGGAACCUGACGGCUUCACUUUGAGGAACAGACCUCUGUAUGUGUGUGUGUGUGUGUGUGUGUGUGUGUGUGUGUGUGUGUGUGUG